CCUACGGGCGACAGCAGUGGGGAAUCUUCCACAAUGGGGGAAACCCUGAUGCAGCGACGCCGCGUGAGCGAUGAAGUACUUCGGUAUGUAAAGCUCUGUCAUCAGGGAAGAAAAUACCUGUACCUGACUAAGCAGCCCCUGCUAAAUACGGACCAGCAGCCGCGGGAAUACGUAGGGGGCACGCGUUAUCCGGAUUUACUGGGUGUAGCGGUAGCGUAGACGGUCCUGCAAGCCAGAUGUGAAAGCCCUGGGCUCAACCCCGGGACUGCAUUGGAAACUGUACGGCUAGAGUGUCGGAGAGGAAGGCGGAAUUCCAAGUGUAGCGGUGAAAUGCGCAGAUAUAAGGAGGAACACCAGUGGCGAAGGCGGCUUGCUGGACGGUAACUGACGCUGAGGUGCGAAAGCGUGGGGAGCAAACAGGAUUAGAUACCCGGGUAGUC
rnacentral:rRNA from 1 species